rnacentral:lncRNA from 1 species
UAUUCAACAUGUUAUCUACCAACACAGGUUAAUGUCUAAACUUUCUGAGUGUUUAUCCAACAUGUUAUCUACCAACACAGGUUAAUGUCUAAACUUUCUGAGAGUGUUUAGCCAACAUGUUAUCUACCAACACAGGUUAAUGUCUAAACUUUCUGAGAGUGUUUAUUCAACAUGUUAUCUACCAACACAGGUUAAUGUCUAAACUUUCUGAGAGUGUUUAUCCAACAUGUUAUCUACCAACACAGGUUAAUGUCUAAACUUUCUGAGUGUUUAUCCAACAUGUUAUCUACCAACACAGGUUAAUGUCUAAACUUUCUGAGUGUUUAUUCAACAUGUUAUCUACCAACACAGGUUAAUGUCUAAACUUUCUGAGAGUGUUUAUCCAACAUGUUAUCUACCAACACAGGUUAAUGUCUAAACUUUCAGAGUGUUUAUCCAACAUGUUAUCUACCAACACAGGUUAAUGUCUAAACUUUCAGAGUGUUUAUCCAACAUGUUAUCUACCAACACAGGUUAAUGUCUAAACUAUCUGAGCGUGUUUAGCCAGCAUGUUAUCUACCAACACAGGUUAAUGUCUAAACUUUCUGAGAGUGUUUAGCCAGCAUGUUAUCUACCAACACAGGUUAAUGUCUAAACUUUCUGAGUGUUUAUACAACAUGUUAUCUACCAACACAGGUUAAUGUCUAAACUAUCUGAGAGUGUUUAGCCAACAUGUUAUCUACCAACACAGGUUAAUGUCUAAACUUUCUGAGUGUUUAUACAACAUGUUAUCUACCAACACAGGUUAAUGUCUAAACUAUCUGAGAGUGUUUAGCCAGCAUGUUAUCUACCAACACAGGUUAAUGUCUAAACUUUCUGAGUGUUUAUCCAACAUGUUAUCUACCAACACAGGUAAAUGUCUAAACUUUCUGAGUGUUUAUCCAACAUGUUAUCUAC